CUCGUCAGGCUCAGUCCCCUCCCGAUAAACCUCAAAAUAGGGUCUUACCUAGGGGACUGGCGGCGUA
ensembl:miRNA Mir484 microRNA 484